CUGCUGCCUCCCGUAGGAGUCUGGGCCGUGUCUCAGUCCCAGUGGUGGGGGGCCUUCCUCUCAGAACCCCUACGCAUCGUCGCCACGGUGGGCCGUCACCCCGCCGUCUAGCUAAUGCGCCGCAUGCCCCAUCCCGGCCACCGGAUCGCUCCCUUUGGCCACCGGAGGAUGCCCUCCGGUGGCGUCACGGGGUAUUAGGCCGCGUUUCCGCGGGUUAUCCCCCUGUGGCGGCCGAGGUUGCAUACGUGUUACUCACCCGUGCGCCGGUCGCCGGCGGG
rnacentral:rRNA from 1 species